rnacentral:piRNA from 1 species
UGUAAUGUACAAGGUCAAUGUUGUGAUGAAC